AUGCAGGAAGCGGGCCACCUUCCCAAUUACCCGUCAGAAUGUGCAAAUGCUUCCUCCCUGCUUUAUCAGCCUAGAAAAUAUGAUCUGAUCCAGGCCUUAAAGAACUUUCCAUCUAGAACAGGUGAUCCUAAGGAAAAGGCCAAGGGAGUCUGCCUGUGCCCCUCGGCCUCGCCACCCGUCUCUGACUGUCCCCGCUUGUCGCCUGUGCCCAGUCAAGCCGGGCGGCAGGCACGAGCAGGCCUAACAGCAGCCCCUGCUCUCCUCAAGCCCCUCUGCGGGAACCCUGGCUGCCGCCAUCCUGAGGCUGCGAAUCCUGAGACUCCAAACUCAACCACCUCCAGAGAGGCCAGCAUCCAGCCUUCAUCAACUACGACCAGCCAAGGCUAUGUUUUACCAGAAAGCAAAAUCAUGCCAAAUACCGUUUUUUUCUUUGGUUGCGAUGUUAGGAUGCAUGAAACCGAAAUUGCAAGUUUCUUUGCUAGAUAUGGUUCAGUAAAAUAAGUGAAGAUAAUCACGGCCUGAACUGGUGUGUCCAAAGGCUAUGGAUUUGUUUCAUUUUAUAAUGACAUGGAUGUGCAGAAGAUAGUAGAAUCACAGAUAAAUUUCCAUGGUAAAAAGCUGAAACUGGGGGCUUCCCUGCUGAAACUGGGCCCUGCAAUCAGGAAACAAAAUGUAAGUGUUUAUCAUGUACAGCUACGUCCUUUGGUUUUUAAUCCUCCUCCUCCACCACAGUUUCAGUGUAAACCAAGCCCUGGAGUAAUCCCAACACUGAAACUUACAUGCAGCCUCCAACCACGAUGAAUCAGUAUGUUCAGGCUUAUCCUCCUUAUCCAAAUUCACCAGUUCAGGUUAUGACCGGAUAUCAGCUGUGGGUUUAUAAUUAUCAGAUGCCACCUCAGUGGCCUACUGGAGAACAAAGGAGUUACGUUAUUCCUCUGGAUUAUACAGCUGUUAACUACCACUGUCAUGAAGUUGAUGCAGGAGCUGAAGUUCUGCCAAGUGAAUGCUCAAUUCAUGAAGCUACUCCAUCCUCCGGAAAUGGCCCACAAAAGAAAUCUGUGGGCUGAAGCAUACAGACGGUGG